rnacentral:RNase_P_RNA from 1 species
GAUGAUGGUAGUGAUUGUGCUAAACGAAACCAUAAGUUUAGGCAGAGACAUCUGACGGCUGGUGAGGCUUCUAAGUGGAAACAUAUGAAGCUAGCCUUUAAAAGUGCCACAGUGACGUAGUCCUUAAAGAAAUUUAGGGAGUGGAACGGGUAAACCCCACAAGCGAGAAACCCAAAUUUGGUAGGGGAACUUUCAAUCACGAAACGAAGUGAGAGAGAGACACAAUGUGUAGAUAAAUGAUUGUCCAUGCGUAAGCAUGACAGAACAUGGCUUAUAGGA